GUCCUUAUCGUCUCCGGCGAGACAGUAUGUCAGCUUCUCUAAGCUCCUCUGUUUCUGGCACCGUAUCAAGCAAUUCUCCAAGAAUCGGAGGAAUCUUUGGAACUUGGCAGGGUCGUCGGAAUCGGAGGGGUCGCCCUCGUCGAAACAGCGCCGCCCACUGCUUCGAAACGGCGGUUGCCUAAGCGGCGAGUUUGAAGGGAAGGAAGAGAGGAUUUGUUCGAUGACGCUGUCGGGUAAGUAAGGAAUUGUGGCGGCGGAGGUGGUGGCGAUCGGGGGGGCUCCGAUCGUGGUCGG
rnacentral:lncRNA from 1 species